UCCAUGAUCCUAUGCUGCCGAGAAAAGCCUCUAGCGAGCUGGUACAUGGCCCGUACCCCAAACCGACACAGGUGGUCAGGUAGAGAAUACUAAGGCGAUCGAGAGAACUGUGGUUAAGGAACUCGGCAAAAUGCCCCCGUAACUUCGGGAGAAGGGGGACCAGUCCUGGUGACGACAUUUACUGUCUGAGCUGGGGUUGGUCGCAGAGACCAGAGAGAAGCGACUGUUUACUAAAAACACAGGUCCGUGCGAAGUCGUAAGACGAUGUAUACGGACUGACGCCUGCCCGGUGCUGGAAGGUUAAGAGGACCGGUCAGCCACUUCGGUGGCGAAGCUGAGAAUUUAAGCCCCAGUAAACGGCGGUGGUAACUAUAACCAUCCUAAGGUAGCGAAAUUCCUUGUCGGGUAAGUUCCGACCUGCACGAAUGGCGUAACGACUUCUCUGCUGUCUCAACCACAGACUCGGCGAAAUUGCAGUACGAGUAGAGAUGCUCGUUACGCGCGGCAGGACGAAAAGACCCCGGGACCUUCACUAUAGCUUGGUAUUGGUGUUCGGUUCGGUUUGUGUAGGAUAGGUGGGAGACUGUGAAACUCGCACGCCAGUGUGGGUGGAGUCAUUGUUGAAAUACCACUCUGACCGUAUUGGACAUCUAACCUCGGACCAUGAUCUGGUUCAGGGACAGUGCCUGGUGGGUAGUUUAACUGGGGCGGUUGCCUCCCAAAAAGUAACGGAGGCGCCCAAAGGUUCCCUCAGCCUGGUUGGCAAUCAGGUGUUGAGUGUAAGUGCACAAGGGAGCUUGACUGUGAGACGUACAUGUCGAGCAGGGACGAAAGUCGGGACUAGUGAUCCGGCACCGGCAAGUGGAAGCGGUGUCGCUCAACGGAUAAAAGGUACCCCGGGGAUAACAGGCUGAUCUUCCCCAAGAGUCCAUAUCGACGGGAUGGUUUGGCACCUCGAUGUCGGCUCGUCGCAUCCUGGGGCUGGAGUAGGUCCCAAGGGUUGGGCUGUUCGCCCAUUAAAGCGGCACGCGAGCUGGGUUUAGAACGUCGUGAGACAGUUCGGUCUCUAUCCGCCGCGCGCGUAAGAAACUUGAGGAAACCUGUCCCUAGUACGAGAGGACCGGGACGGACGAACCUCUGGUGUGCCAGUUGUUCCACCAGGAGCACCGCUGGUUAGCUACGUUCGGAAGGGAUAACCGCUGAAAGCAUCUAAGCGGGAAGCCUGUUCCAAGAUGAGGUUUCUCACCACCUAGCGUGGUUAAGGCCCCCCACAGACCAUGGGGUUGAUAGGCCAGAACUGUAAGCACAGCAAUGUGUUCAGGUGACUGGUACUAAUCGGCCGAGGACC
rnacentral:rRNA from 1 species